AAAGGGUAUCUUCUUAUCUUGGCCACCGAUUCCCGAUCCAACGGCUUAGGCUUCACCUGGAGGAAACCCCGGCCGGCCGGCCACCGGAGAGAGGUCCGGCGCGGCGGCGCCAUUGACGACAUCGCCGGAGUUCAUCCAAAACACGUCUCGGUGCACCAUUCUUCAAAAGGAAAACGCCAGGGGAAAGAGAAGCUCACCGCGGACCGGUCUAGGGCCUUGGCGCAACCCGAGAAGGAGCAGAGACGGCGCGCAGUGAUGGUGGCUAGAGCACGAGCUCGGCGAGAUCCGGUUUGCGCUCUAUCGGCGGCUAGGGCUUGGAUUAUGGAGUUUGGAGACAAAAGGGAACCUACGGGGUGGAUCUGGGAGUUUUAUAGGGGUUCGUGGAAAUCAUAUCCCGGCCAAAGCGGGAUCGGGGGGAUUUCCUUCGGCCAGAGACCGGCUCGAUGACGGCGCGAGGAAGGAGAUGGAGGGGUCGCUGCCAUGCGGGUCCCGGCCGUCAGUCACAAAGAGAGAGGAGGAGGGGGUCACACGCGUGGGUGGGCUGCGCCCUGGGCCGAGGCGAGCUGGGCCGGGGCGGACAGCAAGGCCGAGCGGGGGGUGGUCGGCCUUUCCUUUUUUUUAUUCUUUUCUUUUUUUCUUCCAAAACAGUUUUCCAAAAUCAUUUUUAAAUCAUUUUGAAUUUUAGGUUCAAAUACACUCAUCACAAAAAUAAAUUCUCCAGCAUGAAUGCACAACCAGAUUACUAAUCCUAUGAUAAAUUUUAUUUUAAUGAAAAAUAUUAUUCUUCCUAUAUUCUCAUGAGCACAAGAAUUCAUAAGUAAAUUAUUUUAGCCCUAUUUUCCAAGGAAAUAAUUUUUAGGGUGUUACAAAUCUACCCCUCUUAAAAUGAAUCUCGUCCUCGAGAUUCGAAAGAGAUACGGAUUCCAAAAGGGAAACAGGAAAAAGAUCUUGAUAACUAUUUCAACUUAACCACUGUAUUCCAAAAGCAAACACUCAUGUCUCGGGAUCACAACUUGUGAACAAAACUUUCAUAAAAUGUCUAUUAUUCGUAAUUGUUCAAGGUCCAUCUUGACCACCAACUUUUGACUUAUACAACUCGAAGACAUGGUAACUUAGCAUGGAUAUGCCUCCUCACGUUGGAGUGGACCACCUUGAUACUCAAUUCUUUUCUCUGAUGGUGCGGUUAAGAAAACUUUCCACUGGGUAGCAUAGAUCACUGCCUUGUGUGCACAUAACCAUCCAUUGCCAAGAACCAAAGGAAUGUUGAGUGACUCUAGCACCAUGAGGUUUACAGUGAAGCUUUCCUUCUUUAUGACAAGAUUGAUAUUUGAGCAAACCUGAUCUGCCUGUAUUUCUCCCAUUGGGGUUUGAACUAACAAAGGCUUUCUCGUCGGACACUUCACCCGUUCGAUUGUCUUUACCAAGUUGGCGGAAAUAAAAUAAUGUGAAGCACUUCGGUCAAACAGAGCAAAAACUAGCACUGAGUCCACUUGAAUAUAACCUCCCACCACUUUGGUGGCUCCUUGAAUGCAUAUCCAUAUUGUUCAAUCUUCCAUUGAUAUAAUUUCGCUGUACUUUAUUUCCGAGAGCAGGCUUCUUACGAGUUUUCCUUUUACGCUUCCGUCGUUGUGGAUAUUUAUUUGAUUCAUUAUCAACUUGCUCUUCCAUAUUAUUAUUUCGAUAACACUCAGCUUUGUCAUACUCAUAGCAUCUUUCUUCAAAGGCAAGAUGAUCAUAUUCUUCCCACAUAUCCAUGAGAGGCGUCAUAUUAUGCUCCGAAUCCAUGGGACCCUACACUCCCUGUCAUCAAGUCACCAACGUCAGUGACAUGGCAAGGGUAGAUGAUCAUAAUCAUAGGAUACUCAAGACGACAAUUAUCACUUCAAGAUAGUUUAAAUAUGCAUCAUCCAGUGAUAUCAAGGUACUACCCUCCUUAAGACGAGAUUGAUUGGGGAACACUAAGACUAGCUCUCCUAUCCUUUUUGAAUGCCACACAUUAUAGUCUUUUACAUUCGUGGUACCGAGUCUCUUGAUCCAACAAUAUCCAAUUCUUCUCCAUGUAACCCCUUUAUUUAGGCUACCCCCUUAAGAAAAGUCAUCUAGGGGGCACAGGAAAGGUAGGUUGCAUGUUUUCUAAGCAGGUUAACUACCAUUGAGAAGCUCUGACGUCCCAAAGAACUUAUGUGUAAGGGGAGAACAAACAAGUAUCCUGAAUUUUUCUCAUGAUAUGAAAACACCAGCGUAGUAAAACACAUAUAACUCUUAUUCUGUUAAUCCAACAGAGUUAUAGCUUAUACCGUUAGAAAACUUAUGAAAUUCUCUACCACUUUCAUGUAGAAGACCACCUUAGGUUCUGUCUUUAAGCUUAGGUAAAAUAGCCAAACUUAAAUUCCAUCCUGACAAUGUCUCAGCAAAGGUGCAGUAAGUUCCAGAAGUCAUAUCUCGAGCUACUUAACUCAUCUGGAGAUGAUCCUUAUAUUUUUGAAAAGCUUAGGAAAUCCUCUAUAACUUUCGUAUACAACUUUUUCCCAGAUUCUGAUGUUAGGAUGUCUUAAAAUAGUACAUACCCAAAACUGUCCCGUCUGUAUUACAGAACAGAAACAUCCAAGUGUAAAUACCAUAUCUCAGAUUAUUUUUAUCCAAAUAAGUUCCAGCUUAUACCGUUGGAAAGAAUGGAAAAUUGUCUAUAACUUUUCUAUAGAACACUUUUCCAAAUUCUAUAGCUAUAUUUGUCUUAAACAGUAAGCAACCAAAACUGAUCCAGGUUCUUGACAGCACAGUUGUAUCAUCUUGUGAUUUUUGUAACCUCCAAACCUUAAUAGCUAUAAGGGUGAUUCUUGCAGUCAGAGAAAGAUCUUGAUGUCUAUUUGUUCCCAGAAAAUUUUGAUAAACUGUGCCUGAUCAGAACUUGAGAUACACCAACAUUAUUGCAGACUGCUUCAGAAAUCAGCGAGGGAUAAGGACAUGAUAUAGCCAAACCCAACUACUUAUUUCAUUAAUCCUUAUGCCUUAGGCCUAUGAACUAAUGAAAUUGUGAGGAAAUAUCACAAGAUCAUUGCACUUAUUACAAAGAUCCAAAUCAAACAUAAGCAUAAUAACAAACCAACAAGGCAUUAAAGUUUCAUACUUCAAACAUUGACUCAACUUGCGAUACUAUCGUUCUCUUCCUGUUAAGGGUAAAGAUCCUAAAACUUAUAUUUCAAAGACGCAAAAAGGUGGUAAGAAAAGGUUCUAAUAGCAUGCCAAAUCAAGGAGUGAAGAUGAGAACAAGUACUUUUAAAACAAGCAACAAGGUAGAGACAAAUAGCAAGGAUAGGGAUAUGGUAUGGAUGAAAAUACCAAGGUUUAUAAGCAAGGAUUUUAUGACAAUUACAAAACCUUAAGACGACAAAUUUCUAACUAGGCUUGCGUCCUACAGUCAGCAUUGCUUUGAUACCACUUUGUAAUACCCGAUUUUAAGGACAAAACCAGAUAUGCACCAUAUGUGAGUUUUAGAAGUCAAAUCUCACAUAUAGCUACAAAUAAGGGGUAAUAUCAAAGACAAUGCAUAAAUAUAUAACGUACUUAGUAUAAAAGAGAUAACCUUUGAUAACAAACAGCGGAUAGACAACUCCAAACUUCAGGUAUUAACUCCUCUCCACAGGAUCAAACUGACUGGUUGAUCACAAGCCUAAAGCAACUCCUGAAGUGUGGGGCAAAUUGUAAGAGUGAGCACAUAUCGUACUCAACAAGUAUAACCAGGGGUUCAUGAGGCUCAAUAAGCUGACACUGGUUUGACUGCAUUUAGCUUUUAUAUGUAGAUAGCAUAUUUAUAUUUAGAUAGCAAUUGUCAAGGUAGCAUAAUUAAAUCCCAUAACCACAUGAUCAAUGUAUACAAGAAUUAAGAAUAACACAUAUAAACAACAUAAUAAACCAUCAUUUAUUAUCAUUAUUCACGUUCAUCAACGUCCGUCUAUUCCGUCAGUUUUCCGGGCCGCCCGUAUCCGUGGGCACGGCUAGUAUACCAGAUUUAACACUCUGCAGAGGUUGUACAUCUUUACCCAUGAGUCAUGAUUUACCCUUUCGCCCGAGGCCCGUCGACCUCUUAACCCACUACCAAGGAAGGUCGGCAGGGUUCACUAUGAAGUCUUUCAAAGGUUCGUCUAACAAGUUAGGGCCGCUUGGUUUCAUUAGUCAGUCCAUGUGAUUCACCCGCAGGAAUCCACGGUCUGCAAUUCCCCAAUUGCGCCACAUGGGUAACCACUAACGAGCUAGAAAAAUUACUCAUACUUGACUAAAGCCAGAGCCAUAUAGCCCUCAUGGUUGUACGAGUUGUCCCAGCUUUUGCCAAGGGAUAAGUCCUUAUGGAGGGUCAAGAUCAAUCUAGCAAAAGCCAGAGUUCUUUCCACCCUUUAUAUUCAAGUUGCUAGAAAGCUUAUUUUAUUGUUUAUUGUAUAUCCAAACAUUCAUGUUACAAGAUCAUGGAUUAUAUUCAAGCACUAGCAAGAACUACCCAAAUGCAUAUCCAAAUAGGUAUCAAGGAAUUCAGGAUAGCAAUCAUCUAUGAUUUUACUAGGGUCAUCAAGGUGGACACAUGCAUAUGAUAUAUAUUGUAUUAAUUGUGUAUAGGUAACAAGGAUAGUCUCAAGUUAUACUUGCCUUGAUCAAAGCUCUCCUGAGCCUGCUGGUCUUCAAAAGCUUGACCUUGAUCACCAACGUAUCGCUCACCGUCUAUAUCCGAUCAUCAAUCAACAACACACAAUCCAAUGUAGACAAUCAUACACGAAGCAAACAAGCUAUAAUUAGAACAAUACAACAAACAGUAGUAAAACAAAGAUAAAAGUUUAUCAAAAUGUUCUACACAGCACUACGAUCACACAAACGUAAAGUUCACGAAAAUCAGAUUUAAAACGUGGGAGAUAUGAAUUUUCCAGGAUUUUCCUAUAGAGAAAUAAUUAAUUAAAUGCUACUGCAGAAUUAAAAAGUUUCAAAACAGUAAACUAAUACUUCUAACAUGCAGAGAUUGUAAAUACGAAUCUAACGAAAUUUGAACGGACAAAAACGGAGUUAAAAUGAAUAUUUUAUGAGCAAUUUAAAAUCAGUGGCAAACUUGUAAAUAGUGAAAACGUAUUUUCCAUUAACCGGCCAGGCAUACGCCUUUGGCUUUGGAAAGCGUAUUUUACUCAGGCGCUUUGGGACCGCGGGUUGAAUACCGAAAUCUCCAGGGGCUCUUUAGCAAAUCUCGCAGCGAAAGGGUAUCUUCUAAUCUUGGCCACCGAUUCCCGAUCCAACGGCUUAGGCUUCACCUGGAGGAAACCCCGGCCGGCCGGCCACCGGAGAGAGGUCCGGCGCGGCGGCGCCAUUGACGACAUCGCCGGAGUUCAUCCAAAACACGUCUCGGUGCACCAUUCUUCAAAAGGAAAACGCUAGGGGAAAGAGAAGCUCACCGCGGACCGGUCUAGGGCCUUGGCGCAACCCGAGAAGGAGCAGAGACGGCGCGCGGUGAUGGUGGCUAGAGCACGAGCUCGGCGAGAUCCGGUUUGCGCUCUAUCGGCGGCUAGGGCUCGGAUUAUGGAGUUUGGAGACAAAAGGGAACCUACGGGGUGGAUUUGGGAGUUUUAUAGGGGUUCGGGGAAAUCAUAUCCCGUCCAAAGCGGGAUCGGGGGGAUUUCCUUCGGCCAGAGACCGGCUCGAUGACGGCGCGAGGAAGGAGAUGGAGGGGUCGCUGCCAUGCGGGUCCCGGUCGUCAGUCACAGAGAGAGAGGAGGAGGGGGUCACACGCGUGGGUGGGCUGCGCCCUGGGCCGAGGCGAGCUGGGCCGGGGCGGACAGCAAGGCCGAGCGGGGGUGAUCGGCCUUUCCUUUUUUUAUUCUUUUCUUUUUUUCUUCCAAAACAGUUUUCCAAAAUCAUUUUUAAAUCAUUUUGAAUUUUAGGUUCAAAUACACUCAUCACAAAAAUAAAUUCUCCAGCAUGAAUGCACAACCAGAUUACUAAUCCUAUGAUAAAUUUUAUUUUAAUGAAAAAUAUUAUUCUUCCUAUAUUCUCAUGAGCACAAGAAUUCAUAAAUAAAUUAUUUUAGCCCUAUUUUUCAAGGAAAUAAUUUUUAGGGCGUUACAACCAGGCUCCAUCUGAUGGUUAUCUAACGUAUAAAAAAUAGUGACCUAUAUUAUCUUCGACUCCCCGUCCCUUGUACCGAACACAUAGGAAUGGAUUCAUGCCCCUCUUUCAUCUCUCCUUGUCUUGAAACUAAAUGCAACAACUCUAAAAGCUUGGCUAAAAUUACUAGCUAAAUUUUAUUGUUUAGCCAUUUUGUAAAAUAGAACACUUCUUAAAAAGAAGAGGUCCACAACAGACUUGCUAUUUUAUAAAAUCAGAUAACUAGUCACAGUUGUUGACUAUAUAUGACCACCAAAAAUUAAAAGAUAACUAACCUUUUAUUUUACAAAAUCAGACAGCACAUCUAUUGAAGUCUAUUCUUUACUUUGUAAAUUCCAAAAUAGGCUUCACAACAAGAAUAGUCAAGGUUAUUGGAGUUGCUUCAAACGAGCUGUUGGAAACCUCAUACGCAAACAAUUAUCACAAUAUCGUAAAGCACACUAAAUAAUGCAU
rnacentral:lncRNA from 1 species